rnacentral:rRNA from 1 species
UACGUAUGGGGCGAGCGUUGUCCGGAAUUAUUGGGCGUAAAGGGUACGUAGGCGGGUGUGCAGGUUCACAUUAAAAGGCAUUGGCUCAACCAAUGUUCGGUGUGGAAACUAUAGAACUUGAGUGGGUGAGGGGCAAGUGGAAUUCCUAGUGUAGCGGUGAAAUGCUUAGAUAUUAGGAGGAAUACCAGUGGCGAAGGCGACUCGCUGGAACCAAACUGACGCUGAGGUACGAAAGCGUGGGGAGCAAACAGG